rnacentral:rRNA from 1 species
AGUCGAGCGGGGGAAGGUAGCUUGCUACUGGACCUAGCGGCGGACGGGUGAGUAAUGCUUAGGAAUCUGCCUAUUAGUGGGGGACAACAUUCCGAAAGGAAUGCUAAUACCGCAUACGUCCUACGGGAGAAAGCAGGGGACCUUCGGGCCUUGCGCUAAUAGAUGAGCCUAAGUCGGAUUAGCUAGUUGGUGGGGUAAAGGCCUACCAAGGCGACGAUCUGUAGCGGGUCUGAGAGGAUGAUCCGCCACACUGGGACUGAGACACGGCCCAGACUCCUACGGGAGGCAGCAGUGGGGAAUAUUGGACAAUGGGGGGAACCCUGAUCCAGCCAUGCCGCGUGUGUGAAGAAGGCCUUAUGGUUGUAAAGCACUUUAAGCGAGGAGGAGGCUACUAGUAUUAAUACUACUGGAUAGUGGACGUUACUCGCAGAAUA